rnacentral:lncRNA from 1 species
CCAAGAAAUCUGGCUAUUUCGAGGGCCUUCUAGUCCGAAAGCCCCCCGGGGGCGGGGAGGGUGGGUAUUUCAACCUCACCCCAGGUGAGACAGAGUUUCCCUCUUGUUUCCCAGGCUGGAGUACAAUGGCGCAAUCUUGGCUCACUGCAGCCUCUGCCUCCCGGAUUCAAGCAAUUCUCCUGCCUCAGCCUCCUGAGUAGCCGGGAUUACAGGCAUGCACCACCAUGCCCGACUAAUUUUGUAUUUUCAGUAGAGACGGGGUUUCUCCAUGUUGGUCAGCCUGGUCUCAAACUCCUGACCUCGUGA